rnacentral:lncRNA from 1 species
UAUUUUGGCCAGGAGCUGAAGUUGGUUGUUUAGUAGUAGUAGUUUGAGUAGUGACCGAAGUAGUAGUCUGGUGUGUGGGUGCAAGAGUAGUUGGGGAAGAAUUAGGUGUGGUAAUUGGGGCAGCUGUGGUCUCUUGUGGAGCUGGGGAAGACGGUGGAGCUGGUGUAGUUGCAGAAGGUGUGGGUGGGGCAGCUGUGGUGUCUUGUGGAGCUGGGGAAUUCACUGGUGCUAAUGUAGCUACAGAAGAGCUUGUGUUAACAUUUUCUCUUGAAGAUAUGGUGGUGGCAUUCUGGGGAAGAAAAGUCACAUUUGGAAGGGUAGUAAUUUUGGUGGCUGGUGAGGAUUUGGGAAUUUGGGGGGGUUAUUAGGUGAAGGUGGAAGCUUAGGCCUACAGCGUUUGUGCAG